GAUGAACGCUGGCGGCGUGCCUAAUACAUGCAAGUCGAGCGAACAGACGAGGAGCUUGCUCCUCUGACGUUAUCAGCGGACGGGUGAGUAACACGUGGAUAACCUAACUAUAAGACUGGGAUAACUUCGGGAAACCAGAGCUAAUACCGGAUAAUAUAUUGAACCGCAAGGUUCAAUAGUGAAAGACGGUUUUGCUGUCACUUAUAGAUGGAUCAGCGCAUCAUUAACUAGUUGGUAAGGUAACUGCUUACCAAGGCAACGAUGCGUAGCCGACCUGAGAGGGACGAUGGCCACCUGGUCACAGAGGAUCGUCCGCGACUCCGGCGGUGGGCCACAGUAGGGAAUCCUCCGCGAUGGAGCAAUGGCGAAUGGAGCACCGUCGGCGGAAGCAUGAAGGUCUUCUGCUGGGAGAACGCUGUUAGUCUGGAGGUAGUAAUGUGUAAGUACCUAUGCACGUAUUGACGGUACCUAAUCAAAAAGCCACGGCUAACUCCGUG
rnacentral:rRNA from 1 species